rnacentral:rRNA from 1 species
CCUACGGGGGGCUGCAGUGAGGAAGAUUGGUCAAUGGGCGGAAGCCUGAACCAGCCAAGUAGCGUGCGGGAUGAAGGCCCUACGGGUCGUAAACCGCUUUUGCACGGGGAUAACACCCACCAGAUGGGGAGGUCUGCAGGUACCGUGCGAAUAAGGGCCGGCUAAGGCCGUGCCAGCAGCCGCGGUAAUACGGAAGGCCCGAGCGUUAUCCGGAUUCAUUGGGCUUAAAGGGAGCGUAGGCGGGCGUUCAAGUCAGCUGUAAAAUCGCGCGGCUCAACCGCGCCCCGCAGUUGAAACUGGACGCCUUGAUUUCACCACAGGCAGGCGGAAUUCGUGGUGUAGCGGU